CAAUAGCGUAUACUAAAGUUGUUGCGAUUAAAAAGCUCGUAGUUGGAUCUCAGGCAUGGGCGCACGGUCCGCCUCGCGGCGGUCACUGUGUGUUUUGUUUCCCAUCCUACGCUUCCCGGUUAUCAGCCCAUGGUGCUCUUCACUAAGCGUUUUGGGUGGCCGGAACGUUUACUUUGAAGAAAUUAGAGUGUUCAAAGCAGGCACGUCGCCUGAAUAAUGGUGCAUGGAAUAAUGGAAUAGGACCUCGGUUCUAUUUUGCUGGUUUUCGGAACACGAGGUAAUGAUUAAGAGGGACAGACGGGGGCAUCCGUAUUGCGGUGUUAGAGGUGAAAUUCUUGGAUCAUCGCAAGACGAACAACUGCGAAAGCAUUUGCCAAGCAUGUUUUCAUUAG
rnacentral:rRNA from 1 species